ACCCAUAUUUCUUCGCCCUUCUGCUUUUGCAAGACUUAAUAACUCUUCAGCUUCCUCCCAUCAUCUCCCCACUUUGAGAGAGAAGACAUGGCAAAAGGAAGUUACGAGAAGGCCAUUGUUUCACUCCAGAAACUCCUCAGUGAGAAGGAAGAACUGAAACCGGUUGUAGCAGAAAGAAUUGAUGAAAUCACAGCUGAGUUACAAACGACAAGCUGCAAAUCCUUCGACCCUGUUCAAAGGAUCAAGACUGGCUUUUAUUAUUUCAAAACAGAGAUAUAUGA